rnacentral:rRNA from 1 species
UACGGGAGGUGCAAGCGUUGUUCGGAAUGACUGGGCGUAAAGCGCACGUAGGCGGGUCUUUAAGUCGAAUGUGAAAUCCCUGGGCUCAACCCGGGAAUUUCAUUCGAAACUGGAGAUCUUGAAUGCCCGAGAGGUUGAUGGAAUUCCUGGUGUAGGAGUGAAAUCCGUAGAUAUCAGGAGGAACACCGGUGGCGAAGGCGGGUCUCUGGGCCGAUACUGACGCUGAGGAGCGAAAGCGUGGGGAGCGAACAGG